rnacentral:rRNA from 1 species
AUUGAACGCUGGCGGCAGGCCUAACACAUGCAAGUCGAGCGGAGCGGCUGACGGGUGAGUAAUGUCUAGGAAUCUGCCUGGUCGUGGUGGAUAACGUCCGGAAACGGGCGCUAAUACCGCAUACUAUCAGAUGAGCCUAGGUCGGAUUAGCUAGUUGGUGGGGUAAAGGCCUACCAGGUCGACGAUCCGUAACUGGUCUGAGAGGAUGAUCAGUCACACUGGAAAUGAGACAAGGUCCAGACUCCUACGGGAGGCAGCAGUGGGGAAUAUUGGACAAUGGGCGAAAGCCUGAUGCAGCCAUGCCGCGUGUGUGAAGAAGGUCUUCGGGUUGUAAAGCACUUUAAGUUGGGAGGCGUUACCAACAGAAGAAGCACCGGCUAACUACGUGCCAGCAGCCGCGGUAAUUC